UACGUAGGUGGCGAGCGUUAUCCGGAAUGAUUGGGCGUAAAGGGUGCGCAGGCGGUCCUGCAAGUCAGAAGUGAAAUCCAUGGGCUUAACCCGUGAACUGCUUUUGAAACUGUAGGGCUUGAGUGAAGUAGAGGCAGGCGGAAUUCCCGGUGUAGCGGUGAAAUGCGUAGAGAUCGGGAGGAACACCAGUGGCGAAGGCGGCCUGCUGGGCUUUAACUGACGCUGAAGCACGAAAGCGUGGGUAGCAAACAGG
rnacentral:rRNA from 1 species